rnacentral:tRNA from 1 species
GCCGGAGUGGUGGAAUUGGUAGACACGCAAGACUUAAAAUCUUGUGAGCUUUGCUCGUGCGGGUUCAAGUCCCGCCUCUGGUA